ACUCCUACGGGAGGCAGCAGUAGGGAAUCUUCCACAAUGGGCGCAAGCCUGAUGGAGCAACACCGCGUGAGUGAAGAAGGGUUUCGGCUCGUAAAGCUCUGUUGUUAAAGAAGAACACGUAUGAGAGUAACUGUUCAUACGUUGACGGUAUUUAACCAGAAAGUCACGGCUAACUACGUGCCAGCAGCCGCGGUAAUACGUAGGUGGCAAGCGUUAUCCGGAUUUAUUGGGCGUAAAGAGAGUGCAGGCGGUUUUCUAAGUCUGAUGUGAAAGCCUUCGGCUUAACCGGAGAAGUGCAUCGGAAACUGGAUAACUUGAGUGCAGAAGAGGGUAGUGGAACUCCAUGUGUAGCGGUGGAAUGCGUAGAUAUAUGGAAGAACACCAGUGGCGAAGGCGGCUACCUGGUCUGCAACUGACGCUGAGACUCGGAAAGCAUGGGUAGCGAACAGGAUUAGAUACCCUGGUAGGAUAGCG
rnacentral:rRNA from 1 species